GGGCAAAAGAUAAAUCUACAUGGGGUACAUUGUAAUAAAUGCUGAGCUGAUGGGGGCUCCUAGGGAGCUGUCGUGAAUACUGCCUGCACAUUAGGGAAGUUGGAGUCACAGGGAAGGGGCCCCUUGAACCAAGUCUUGCAAGAUAAGCAGGAUUCAAGUGUGUGAAAUGGCAUCUAACAAAUGGAAAGGCCUGGUUACCUCUGCUCUUUUAUUUAAAUGGGUUAAAUCUCAGACCAUUCUCUCCCAUCCCAUCUUUCAAAAUGAUGUGGUGCUAAAUGUAUUUUUUUAAACAGCAGAUUGUUGAAUUUUAUUUUUUAAUUCAGUGAAUUACAUUUUUGUUUUAAUAAGCAAAGUUAGGCUGUUCACAUUUACUUUUUGAUACAUUAUUUGUCCUUAAGCCCAAGUAAACUUAUCUUUAUUGCAGUCAUUUACUGAUUUCUCUUUUCGUUUUGUGUUUUCUGUGGUAGAUUUUAAACUCUUUUAUUUCUUUUUGAACUAGGCCAAAUGAUACCUUAAGUGGUCUGUUUCUCAACAUUUUAACAAUGUAUUUCAGGAAAAAAACAUUUUAAUUGCUUCUAUUUACUUCUAUUAUUAACUACAUAAACUUUGAUUCCUUUUUGGGAUACAAAAGGAGUCUUUUGUUCCCCUUCUACUGUUCAUUCUUUGUAGUUAUUAUCUGAGAUCCUUUUGAGCUUCUGCUAAUACCUGAUAGUUCCAAGAAAUUAUUUGCUAAUUUACCAACUGACUGUUUUCAUUAUUAUUGAAAGGAGUAUUGAUUAAUCCUUGCUUAAUAUUUGAAUUCAUUUGUUUGUCAAAGAGGCCUUUAAAUCUCUGUCUAGCCUUAAUUAUCUCCUACGGUGGCAUAAUGAGUGUGAGACUUUGUGGCACACUGGGCACACUGUUUGUACUUUUAAUUGGCCAAUGGUUUUAAGUCCUCUAAGUCUUGAAACAUUAUCCUCUGCCUUCAAAGAGUAGCCACCCUGGUCAAGUACUUUCUUUUGGCUUUGUCAUAAUUUCUCCAACCAGCCCUCUUCUACUCCAAAGUUUAAGGAGGGAAAUCUAAUUACAUUACUAUUCUUACAUCCUGUCCUAUUUGUGAUAGCUUUAAAGCUUUGUCUUUUUUCAGCGUGAUAGAAAAACAAAUGGAGAGAAGUUUGGGCAAGAGAAGUCAUCCACCACUUAGUAGAUUUGUCUGGCAUCUCAUGAUGUCUAUGCCAAAGUUCUAUUUACAUUUAAUAAUUUUUUUUCUGCUCUCACUGCUCCUAAUUUUGUGCUCAUCAUAGUCCUUUCCUGACUCCAUUAGAUUCUUGCUCUUCAAAGUCUGAGAUUCUUUAUUCUAUUUCUUAGGUGUAUCCCUUUGCUAGGGCUGCCAUAACAAGAUGCCACAGACUGAGAGUGCCUUAAACAACAGAAAUUUAUUGUCUCACAGUCCUGGAGCCUAGAAGUCCAAAAUCGAGGUGUCAGCAGGGCCAUGCUCCCUCUGAAGGCUUUAGGGAGCUUUCUUUUCUAGGCCUCUUUCCUAGCUUCUGUGAUUUUCUGGCAAUCUGACAUACCUGGCUUGUCGACACAUCAUCCUGACUGCUGUCUUCAUGUUCACAUGGCAUUCUUCUGUCAUGUGUGUCUCAGUGUCCGAAUUUCCUCUUUUCAUAAGAAUGCCAAUCAUAAUGGAUUAGGGGCCCACCUUACUCCCAUAUGACUUCAUCUUAACUAUGCUCCAAUAUUAUCUGUAUAUUGUAGCCAUAAUUUGGGGCCUUGUUCAGUCACGUCAUGGUGACACUAACCAUCUCUCCUUCACCAAGUCUUCUCUUUGUGUUUUUAUUCCUUUAUAAUAGUUGCAAGUUUUGCCGAGCUUCAUGCCACUCUAUAUUCCUCUGUAGGCACUACUAUUCCUUCUGUCUCUCUUUACAAUCUGUUGUUAUUAGCUCAUUCAGAUGUGUUCACAUGAAUAAUUCCAGAUCUACAGGGCUUUUCUUGUUCCCUUUUAGGUUAGAAAACUGAGUCCUAAUAGCCUGUUAGGAUUCAGGCUAUUAACUAGGGAUUUUAUUUGUUGGACUUAUUUAUUGUUUAUGAAGUUUGUUGUGUGUGUUGUAUCUUGUUUCUCUUUUUCAGAUCAUUUUAUUCUUCUCCAAAGUCCAGGGUGUAUAAAAUGCAGCUCUAAUUUAAUUCUUUCUUUGCCCACAUUAUUUCUUUUCUAAUUCUCAUGAGGACUCUAUGAGAAUCUUUGUUCCUGCCUAAACUGUCAUGUGUACACAUGGAACACAUGUCAUUGUGAAAGGUGGCCACAGUCCAGGGAGACAGAGCCAGCAGUUUUUGCCCUACAGGGUGCUGAUAAGGUGAUGACAAAGGAUACACUUUGACUGGGGUUCAUUAUUACACUUGGAUGGGGGUGGGCUUAGGCAUUUGUGCCAAAGAACCCAAUCCUAGCCCAUAAAGAAAGGGUGUGAAAGGAUGGAAAUUCAGCCUGCAUGGAGCCCCAGGACCUUUCGCAAUAGCAUUCUCACAUGUCCAGCUCCCACCACUGGCCUUAAAGGCAGUUAGGAGAGUCUCCCUUGGUAUUGCCAGCAGUAUUGUUUUCACAUCAGGAACCCUCAACUCCUUGUUCAGCAAUAAGAAAAGUAGACCAUCCUCAUAAACUAUGUAUAAGAGGACCCUAAAAAAAAAAAAAUGGAAACUUGCCCUAGAAAACAGCCCUGUAGAGUCUUGGCUGUGUCACUUCUGUAUGUCUUCUGGUUACAUGUAGGUCACUCCCAUUUGGAGUUAUGUAAGUACAGUGGGAAGAGGGGUUCCAGCGAGCAUGUGGGAAAAACAGGUCCAUUCCCAUAUCCUUGGGAGCAGGUCUCAUGUGCUAGUCUGAGAUAAGAACCAUUUUUGCAGACCAAAAUUGAAGGCGAUUGAUUCCAUUUGUUUUCCUUCCAGAACCUUCCUCUGACAGUGAAGAGGAUUGUGGGUAGGGAAAGUUAGAAAAGAAUAAUUUCUGUACCACUUUCACAAGUCUACUUCUGGGUAUUCAGCACUUUCACAGCACCUCCCCCACCCCCGGCACCAGGUAAGCUCUUAUAAUGAGCUCCCCUGUCCUCAAUUGUUGGAACCCACAGUCUGGCUCAAAUGACCAUGGGUACCUCUUUGUCAGACACACGCUGUGCAUCUGGCGGCAUCACCAGGGGUAACCUGAGAGGGCUCACAUUUUUAAUUUUAACCAAAAACACAUCUGCCAGGUUCAUUUCAGCUAACAGGAUAAAUAUCGUAUUUCUGUACUAGUUUGUAAACACCUUGCUUUCCACCCCUAUUUAACAUGUUUCCUGGCUGUUUUACAAAUAGAAAAAAAUCAAGUUGGAUCCAUAUGGGACUGAGCAUGUGUGUUGUGUCAGUCAAGUGUGGGGGUAGCUUUAUGUGGAACUGGGUCCAGUGUAAGCAACACAUAUGCACCUGACCAGCACCAUAGAAUUGUCUAGAGUAAGAAACCCCUUAGACAGUAUGCUUUUGAGACCAUUCAGCAGCUGCCUAUGGACCUGGAGUUGUCUCUGUUAUAGAUGAAGUUUGGAUGUGUCAUUGUCUCAGGGUCAAGAUCCCAUUGCUUCUCCAAACCCAAACUGUUCUCCACCAAAGAUGAUUUUCUUUCACUGUUUUUGAAAAUCAUUCUUUUUUUUCUACUGUGAAGAUUCUUCUGAAUAAAUCCUGAGUGCAAAGCACAAAUGUUAUCUCUGAUUUCUCUACUCACAAUGACAGUGCCAAAAGAGAAGGGAUAAUACACGUUUUGUGAAAUUGGGGAGUUCAGCAGGGAAAUAAUUUGAGAAAAUAGAAUGGCAUAUUGAAAUGAUAAAAUAAAUAGAUUUCCCAGUUCUGGGGUUUUUUUCCCCAAUGCUAGCAUAAAUGACAUACAUACUAAUGACAUUUUGUGUGAAUAUUUAUAAGGAACCUUUUAAUUCAAGGAUUUCCAAUUCUUUUAUGACCUAUUAAUUCUCACAAUGUCACACUAGAGUGCAUGGGUAGUAAUGUUAUACUCCAUCUACAGAUGGAGAGAUCAAAGCUCGCAGAUGUUCAAUUACAGAACUUGCCAGAGACCUGCAGUGAUCAGCUGGGCUCUUUCCAGCCCAGGGCACAAGCCUCUGGUUCCCAGAGCCACCCAGCUUUCCUCAGCCAGAGCUGGUAACCAGUUGACCCAUCAGAGCAGGUGCAUUGGUUCUGAGAGUCCAGUCCAGGGCUAGCCCUGGGAUACAGUGGGAAUGGUGGGCUUGGACCUCAUCCCCCAGCACCCUUUUCCUUCAGGGCAAGCUCCUACUUCCCAUGCAUUCCUCCUUCUUUUCAUUUAGCCAUUUCUUGCUCUUGCUUGGUUUCUGCUGACUCUGAAAAAAGGGUCACAUGGCGUUCCCUGAUGGCUUAGCAGGUUAAGAAUGUGGGUUCAGUCCCUGGCCCAGGAACUUCCUCUUCCCCUAGGGUCAAGCCAAAAAGAAAAAGAGUCAAGUGAUAACUAAAGGGGUUAUUAUUUAUUAAUAAGGUCACAGUUUUCCAAAAAUUAUAUGUAUUUUGAAAGGAAAAUCUAGGAGUUCCCAUUGUGGCUCAGCAGAAAUGAACCCAACUAGUAGCUAUGAGGACAUGGAUUCGAUCCCUGGCCUUACUCAGUGGGUUAAGGCUCCGAUGUUGCUGUGAACUGUGGUGUAGGUCGAGACAUGGCUCAGAUCUUGUAUUACUGUGACUGUGGUGUAGGCUGGCAGCUGUAGCUCUGAUUCAACCCCUAGCUUAGGAACUUCCAUAUGCCCCAGGUAUGGCCCUAAAAAGACU
rnacentral:lncRNA from 1 species